AUAGGUUGGUUUCACGUGACGUCACAUUGCUUCUUCGCGAACGCGCGAAAUUCAGAUGGAGGGCAGGAAGUGAAUUCGCGAGGAUCUGCCGUCUGUAAAAAUGCCCAUGUUUUGUGCAGUUUACGGCUGCUCCAAUCGUUCUAACCGUGAAAAAGGAAAGGGUUUUUUCAGAGUUCCAAAGAUUGUCGUCCAUAAAGGUGAGAAAUGUAAAAAGCUCACAGAACAACGACGUAAAGUGGAUUUUAAACGUACGUCUGCGGUCGGGAGGAGCAGAGUCUGCUAAUGCCCGUGUCUGCAGCGACCACUUUGUCGGAGGCUGCCCUAGCGCUUUGGUUGACGUUGAGUCGGUAGACUGGGCUCCGACAGUCAACCUCGGUUACCAAAAAAUUAAGCCCAAAUCAGAGGCAUCUCUGCAACGAGAGCAGAGGAUGAAGCUCAAGGAAGACAAACAAAGAUGGUCGGAAUGUGCAGAGGCUAUGUUGAAUCUCCAACAGACAGCUGAGAGCCCGGAUCUAACGCAGACAGCCGAGAGCUCCGAACCGAAGCAGUCAGCUGACAUCUCACAGUCAAAGGACAUCAGUGGGAAUGGGACAUUAAAUGAUCAAGACUAUGCAGAUGCC